CUCUGGGAAUUGGUGAUGGACAGGGAAGCCUGGCCUGCUGCAGUCCAUGGGGUCACAAAGAGUCGGACAGGACUGAGCGACUGAACUGAACUGAGACUUUUUCCAUCUGUGCACAGACCAUGUGGUUGAUCUACAUGACAAACCCCACUUCCUGUCUUGGGGGAGAGUCACAAGGAACCCAGGUACUUAUGUAUAUGUGCUCUCAGGCACUUAAAGACACUGAAAUCUCAGCUUGAGGCAGAAUUAAACAGAUUUGUGCAGGGGAAUCCAUGCCUCAUGCGGCUCUCCAGCCCGCUCUGGGUGCUCCUGGCCGUCACCUUCUCUGGAUCUGGUGUGGCCCAGAAAGUUACUCAAGACCAGCCAGACAUAACCCGUCAAGUGGAGCAGUCAGUCACUCUGAACUGUCAGUAUGAAGUCAGUUGGUACAUGAUCUCCUACUACAUUUUUUGGUACAAGCAGCUUCCCAGUGGACAGAUGACUUACCUCAUUCGUCAGUAUUCAGACGAUGGGAAUGCAAGGGACGGCCGUUACUCUGUAAACUUCCAGAAAGCAGAUAACUCCAUCAGCCUCACCGUUUCAGCCUUACAGCUGGAAGAUACUGCAAAGUACUUCUGUGCUCUUCGUGAACUCACAGUGGUUGAAGUAAUGGGAAAAGCUGAACAAAAACCCCAGAGCUUAAUAAGAGAGAGCCUCCAUGCUUCAGGACUCCAGCUGAGAUGCACACCUGCAGAUCCCAGCAAGAAAUGAUAAUUGUGUGGUUGCUUCAUCUGUGGUCUGGAUCAUAGAAUUUAAUUCUAAGUAAAAGCUUCUUCAUUGUUAUUUGAUGUCCAGAGUAAUUUUCUACUGUUAACAUUCUCUUGUUGAAUUUUUGACUAAAUCAAUCAUACAGAACAUGUGUAAAGUUGUCUAAACUUGCUCCAUAAAUAAUUAAAAGUGACAGUUUCACUAAAAUACACUCGCAUCACAAGUCUGGGUAUAAUUACUUGGAAUCAUCAUAAAAAUAAUUUCCUUAGUCCUUUAUUCUUAGUAUUGUGUCACUGAAGGUACAAUCAAAGAAGCAGAACCACCAGUGGUGUGGAAUAAGAAAUUAGUUAUAAAGAUUAGGACUCAGGUAAUUGCUAGAUCUGGUGGAAGAGUGUAUACAAAUCUGUUAUCUUGGUAUCUGAUGUUGAGACUGAACUAAUUGUUUGUCAGCUAGAGUAAUAUUUGAAGAAGAAAGUUGGAUAUAGACCAGAGCAUGGACAAACUAUGACUCAUAAGGACAAACUAGAGCCAUGAGGUAAAUGGAAACCACAAAGACACACUAAAAUGUGUCUGUUUCACCUCCUUCAGUCUCACAGUAGCAGGUGACCUUAGGAGAAGUGGGUGUCAUUUGGAGACAUGCUGCCUGCAUACUCGGCCCAAAGCAGAGAAGACAAGGAGGAGGUUUGGUGGGAAGUGAAGGAGUUGUGAGUUAACAAUAAGUUGAGCUAUCAGAUCAGCAGCAGCAAUAUGAUUGAAUAACCAUAGUCUCUGGAGCCCUGUACCAACCUCCAAAACAUAAAACCUAUGGCUACUUCAUCACAAUCACCUUGCAAAUGUUACACAAAUUUCUUUUGUGGCCAAUCCUAACCAAGAACAAUACGGGAAACACUUUCUGGGAAAGAUAUUUCCAGUUAGUUUAGAUAGUACAAAGCUGCUACAGUACCCUGUUUGUUAACCUGGCAUCCAUCUGUACUCUCUUAACAACUUUUGAAUAAAGAAAGUAAAACUAUGCUUCUUGCUAAUGUUGUUGUUGCUGUUCAGUCACUAAGUCGUGUCUGACUU